GCCUAUGACCAUACCACCCCGAAUGCGCCCGAUCUCGUCUGAUCUCAGAAGCUAAGCAGGGUCGGGCCUGGCUAGUACUUGGAUGGGAGAAUAGAUUUUCUUAAGUA
rnacentral:rRNA from 1 species